GAGAGAGAUUUUUUUUUUAAAAAUUGAGCAUACACUUCCUAUUUCAGGCAUCAGAUGAGGUUCGAGAUUCUGGAAAUUUUGUUGGUGGAACCGACCUAAAUUUGAACCUGGGUCUGAAAGACCCCGAUGUUGAAGAUGAAGGUGAUACAGUUGAAGAUGAAGGUGAUACAGUUGAGCACCACAGGGUUCGAACAGAACACAGAUUGAAGAGGAAAUCUGUUACCCCUGACCUCGAGAUGAGAAUGUAACUGGCGGCUUCAUUUAUUCCUUGUAUUCUUUACUACAGUUUCCCUUUUUUGGGCCAUUUAUAUAUUUUUCUUGACAUACUGUAUACGUGGAGAGACAAGUAACAGAAUCACAACUACAUAGUGAAACGCCUGCAUUGUGUUGCCAAAUACCUUUUAUUUGUUUCACUUGUGAAUUGAGCAAAUGAUAGGUCUGAUGAAUCAAGGACAUAUACGAUAAAAGCUGUGACAAGUGUUUGAACAAGUGAUGGCGAUACCUGAUGACUUUUUGAUUAAGAUUAGACUGCAUACCUGAUGACUUUUUGAUUAAGAUUAGACUGCAUCAGGGGUCAGUUUUGAGCCCUUAUUUUUCUCCUUGGUGAUGGAUGAGGUCACAAGGGAUAUACAAGGAG
rnacentral:lncRNA from 1 species